rnacentral:rRNA from 1 species
UACAGAGGGGGCAAGCGUUGUUCGGAAUUACUGGGCGUAAAGGGCGCGUAGGCGGCCUGUUAAGUCGAACGUGAAAUCCCUGGGCUCAACCCAGGAACUGCGUCCGAUACUGGCAGGCUUGAAUUCGGGAGAGGGAUGUGGAAUUCCAGGUGUAGCGGUGAAAUGCGUAGAUAUCUGGAGGAACACCGGUGGCGAAGGCGGCAUCCUGGACCGGUAUUGACGCUGAGGCGCGAAAGCGUGGGGAGCGAACAGG